rnacentral:rRNA from 1 species
ACUCAAAGGAAUUGACGGGGACCCGCACAAGCAGUGGAGUAUGUGGUUUAAUUCGAAGCAACGCGAAGAACCUUACCAGGUCUUGACAUCCCUCUGACCGGUACAGAGAUGUACCCUUCCUUCGGGACAGAGGAGACAGGUGGUGCAUGGUUGUCGUCAGCUCGUGUCGUGAGAUGUUGGGUUAAGUCCCGCAACGAGCGCAACCCUUGAUCUUAGUUGCCAGCAUUUCGGAUGGGCACUCUAAGGUGACUGCCGGUGACAAACCGGAGGAAGGUGGGGAUGACGUCAAAUCAUCAUGCCCCUUAUGCCCUGGGCUACACACGUACUACAAUGGCCAGUACAACGGGAAGCGAAGCCGCGAGGUGGAGCGAAUCCAAUCAAAGCUGGUCUCAGUUCGGAUUGCAGGCUGCAACUCGCCUGCAUGAAGUCGGAAUUGCUAGUAAUCGCGGAUCAGCAUGCCGCGGUGAAUACGUUCCCGGGUCUUGUACACACCGCCCGU